ensembl:antisense Gm19461 predicted gene, 19461
AAGAAGUCUCCGUUCUCCUCUCUCAGCCUGCCCAGCUCUCAUCUAUACAGACCGGAGCAUAAUAAAAAAAACAAAGCGGCUCUGCAAUUGGCCUGACCCACUCGCCUCUCCAGCAGCAUGGCUCGCUUGCCCUCCAAACGUGCUGGUCCAGCUGGUCAGAAGCUAGACAUACACAGCCCAAGUGGAUGGCCGGGAUGUUAGUGGAGUCCCAGAUGAAAUGGAAGAAAGCCUUCCUCUCGAGGCUGGAAACCAUGUUCUUCCUCCUCUUUACUACUCUUAGAGAUGUCAAAAAAGCCUCCUCUUCUCAAGGCUUGGGAUGGCUAAGGACAGACCCAACUGGACCUUUCAAAUUCCACUCCCCAAAGAGUUCAGAAGUCAGGAAGUAAAGACUUGGCAGCAGAAGAAAGAUCAGCCUUGAUUUUCACGGUUGCCCGGAGGUACCUCAACGCGGAACUGGGCGGGUCAGUCUUGGAGGAGGCACCCAUUGAGUCUGCAGUAUGGCCUCACCUGUUUGGCCCUUAGUUUGCUCAUGUGCAAACAAGGCCUCUGGACUAAUCCAAUGAAUGAAUCCCUGCAAACCUUCAGUGAAAUACAGCUUCCACAACACAGG